UCACCAUGGUAGAAAAGAAGCCAGCCAUCCUAUUUUAUCAACAAUAGUCCCUCUGUGUUUUAUACUGGACAUGAAAAGCAGCAUCUUAUAAAAAGGGAUUAUAAAAGCAACAUCUCUGUCUUGGAGACAGGCUGUUUUAUUGGAAAGAAAUGUCACUGGAGGGGUAUUCACAAACUGGGGUGCAUCUUUCUAAUCAGAAUUUCAGAUUUAUAUAUCACCCUUCUGUUCUGCUGUCUGGUAAAUGAAUGUUAACCACACCAACACGUUAAAAAGAUGGAAUUAUAUUUAGCCUGCAUUCUAAUAACAGCAAUUCUUUCUGCUAAGUUUGAAUAAAUAUCACUGUUGUAUCACUGCAGAAGAUGAAAGUUCAGGCUUACAAACUCCAGGAUAUCUGGGAUCAGCUCCAGCUCCUGUUAAGGUAGGGAGGUUCUGUGUCCUCUCAGGAAAGACAAAGCAUGGCUAAAUGGUGGAAGAUGGUGAGAGUACUUUUUUUUUCAGCUUUCUGCCGAGCCCUCCCAGCGCAGCGGUUCUCCCCUGGAGGUUACAGCCUCUCCGAGGCUCUCGGGGCUGGAACUGCCCUCUCUCUCUGCAGCCUGCGAACCCAAAAUGU